ACCUUUUAUCGUAGAGAAAUCAUCUCUCCUCAAGGAAGAGGUGGAUGAACAAGUUAGACUUCCUGCCUUCUUUUUCCAGGUUGCCUGUCUGCCUCCAGUUUCCUCCUUCUUUUCCUUAUCUGCCUUUGUCUUUCCCUUUACCCUGCUUUCUAUCUUCUCCUCUCAGCUUUCUUCCCAGUCUCUGGACCAGACAGGUGAGGUAAUUCCUCUGCCAUGGCUUUAACCUUUGGCCUUCAAUGUCCUGGGACUGCAGUGUGAGUCCACACAUCCAGAUCCUGGCCUCUGUCUCUCUAUCCUGGCCUACGACCAGGGCACUGGUUAAAACCAAAACCCAAACAAGGAAAUUUUACAACAAUGUCUUAUAAGCCACUUGGGCCUUAAAAAGCAGUGAAAUAGUAAAUGGAGCAGCCCUUACCUGUAGUCAUAGAGGAGCUAAACCUACAACCAUUCACUGCAAUUCUGUGAGAGAAGUUUCCAUGUAAGGUGUAAACUCUAUGCUUGUAUUCCUCUGAGCUCACUCCCAUGAACAGAACUACAGCAACAACUUCCCAUGAACAGCUGCAGAGGAGUUUGCAUUUCUUCUGCUGGAGAACUGGGAGCAGGAAACACCCAGGUUUGCUUGGAAUACCCAGAAUGGAGCUGUUGGUAAAUCACAGUCCACACCCCAACUCUUCAGUCUUUUUGCUAAUUUCUGCUGCUUCACUUCAGAGUCCCAGAACAACACUGUGAUGACUCACCAGCUCUACUUCCUUUUGGUGUGAAAUGACUUCCUGUGCGUUGGAGAGGCCAAAGGCUGGAGGGACCCCACUGUAGCACCAUUCUAUGGCUGAAAGAUCUGAGACCCAAAGAAUCUACAUGAGUUGUCUGUUUCUGCACAACUGGCUGUGGAGUGCUUUCUCCUGCUCAGCAAGGCUCAGUGCUGGCUGAAUUUCCUGUGACAUUUGCAUGUGAUUCCAUAGUCCCAUACUGUUCACAAGUGGGUAAUCCUAGAAGACUGCCGAGCCUGGAUGACUGAGGAGAAAGGCCGAUCACUUGGAGGAGUGGUCCAGAGCAUGCAAUUCAGAGUGUGAUUUUUACCGUAGACACACAGACACCCACAAGAGAGAGCGGUUGGUAUUCAUAGUAAGCCAGACAGUAUCCAAUUCUAACUGGACACAGUAUUUUUCCCCACAAGACUUGGUACCAGCUGAACACAGCAUCGUGGAAGAACUCUCUACCACCGGAAAUGAAUCUAUGAGGAAUCUGGGUUAAAGAGGGGAGAGAAAAUGGGAAGAAAGUCUAGGCACUUCAUUCCUCCUUCAGCCUCUGUACAACGCCAUGUGACAGAGUCCUUGUGACAGCAAAUCUUUUUGUAAGAAUUCAUUUAGUAAUACUUUUUGUUGUCUAGUAUAAACCAUGAAAAGUUUUGUUAAGACAAAGAACUCAAGAAAAUCAAGUCAGUAGGAGUAUGGAUCUGUUAAUGAUCUUGGACAUAUACAUAUGGUCCUUUAUAGAGGCGUGAAAAGUCAGGUAAAGAAAACAUUAAAAGUAAAAGAUAGUGAACAGGGGGGGAUAAAAGAAGAAAUGUAAUUACAGACAGGGAGAUUAUAACGGGAAGAAACAGCGGCUAACUUAUAUUUCUCUUCAAAACACAAGCUAAGAGAUUUGAUGUGAACAAAAAUGGAGAAAUAUCCCACUUUUCUGAAUUGCAACAGAUAAAUUAAAAACAAAAAUAUUUAAGGAAGAUUCCAAAAUGGGGGCCUCUGAGGUCUAAAUCCUGUGUAAUUUUUUUUGGUUGAUGAUGGUAAAUGUAUUGUUAGCACCCAUUAAACUGGUCUAAUCAGUGGAAAUACGAA